rnacentral:rRNA from 1 species
GCGUGGGUGAAGAAGGUCUUCGGAUUGUAAAGCCCUUUCGGCGGGGACGAUGAUGACGGUACCCGCAGAAGAAGCCCCGGCUAACUUCGUGCCAGCAGCCGCGGUAAUACGAAGGGGGCUAGCGUUGCUCGGAAUUACUGGGCGUAAAGGGCGCGUAGGCGGCUCUGUCAGUCGGGCGUGAAAUCCCUGGGCUCAACCUGGGGGCUGCGCCCGAUACGGCGGGGCUAGAGGGCAGGAGAGGCUCGCGGAAUUCCCAGUGUAGAGGUGAAAUUCGU